UACAUUUUAGUAUAUGAUGUACAGAGGUUUUUGAUGCUUCAAGAAACAGUUUAAUUCUGUUAAAUGUAA
rnacentral:tRNA from 1 species